GCAUAUACAAAGAGAAGCGACCUCGCGAGAGCAAGCGGACCUCAUAAAGUAUGUCGUAGUCCGGAUUGGAGUCUGCAACUCGACUCCAUGAAGUCGGAAUCGCUAGUAAUCGUAGAUCAGAAUGCUACGGUGAAUACGUUCCCGGGCCUUGUACACACCGCCCGUCACACCAUGGGAGUGGGUUGCAAAAGAAGUAGGUAGCUUAACCUUCGGGAGGGCGCUUACCACUUUGUGAU
rnacentral:rRNA from 1 species